GAUGAAGAACGUAGCGGAAUGCGAUAAGUAAUGUGAAUUGCAGAAUUCAGUGAAUCAUCGAAUCUUUGAACGCACAUUGCGCCCGCCAGUAUUCUGGCGGGCAUGCCUGUUCGAGCGUCAUUUCAACCAUCAAGCCCCAGGCUUGUGUUGGGGACCUGCGGCUGCCGCAGGCCCUGAAAACCAGUGGCGGGCUCGCUGUCACACCGGGCGUAGUAGAUUUUAUCUCGCUCUGGGCGUGCUGCGGGUUCCGGCCGUUAAAAAACCCUUUUAACCCAAGGUUGACCUCGGAUCAGGUAGGAAUACCCGCUGAACUUAAGCAUAUCAAUAAGCGGAGGA
rnacentral:misc_RNA from 1 species